GACGAACGCUGGCGGCGUGCCUAAUACAUGCAAGUAGAACGCUGAAGAGAGGAGUUUGCUCUUCUUGAAUGAGUUGCGAACGGGUGAGUAACGCGUAGGUAACCUGCCUUGUAGCGGGGGAUAACUAUUGGAAACGAUAGCUAAUACCGCAUAACAAUGGGUGACACAUGUCAUUUAUUUGAAAGGGGCAAUUGCUCCACUACAAGAUGGACCUGCGUUGUAUUAGCUAGUAGGUGAGGUAACGGCUCACCUAGGCGACGAUACAUAGCCGACCUGAGAGGGUGAUCGGCCACACUGGGACUGAGACACGGCCCAGACUCCUACGGGAGGCAGCAGUAGGGAAUCUUCGGCAAUGGGGGCAACCCUGACCGAGCAACGCCGCGUGAGUGAAGAAGGUUUUCGGAUCGUAAAGCUCUGUUGUAAGUCAAGAACGAGUGUGAGAGUGGAAAGUUCACACUGUGACGGUAGCUUACCAGAAAGGGACGGCUAACUACGUGCCAGCAGCCGCGGUAAUACGUAGGUCCCGAGCGUUGUCCGGAUUUAUUGGGCGUAAAGCGAGCGCAGGCGGUUUGAUAAGUCUGAAGUUAAAGGCUGUGGCUCAACCAUAGUUCGCUUUGGAAACUGUCAAACUUGAGUGCAGAAGGGGAGAGUGGAAUUCCAUGUGUAGCGGUGAAAUGCGUAGAUAUAUGGAGGAACACCGGUGGCGAAAGCGGCUCUCUGGUCUGUAACUGACGCUGAGGCUCGAAAGCGUGGGGAGCGAACAGG
rnacentral:rRNA from 1 species